CAUGUUCAGAAACAACACAUGCAGCGGCAGCGCUCCAUCUUCUCUCUCUCUCUCGGUCAUGUUCUUCGCCGUCUCAACCUCGCGUCCGUUUCAAACACGACGGCCGAAGAACUCAUACAAGUUCUCUUCUCCGGCGAACUCUCGGUCUCAAUCUCUUCUUCUCCUCUUUUCGAUUUCUGAUUCGUUGUUUGUUGGUAAUUUGAUGAUGAUGGUGAUACGGAAUCAGUUAUUUGUGUUGUUGUGUUGUGUGAUUCUGUCGAAGCUUGAUUCGGUGAAAGUGCAAUGAUGGUGAUGGUUAAUGUUUGUUAUAGGUUUAGAUAUGUGUAUUUGUUCAUCUCCAUGGUUGUUUUCAUAAAUCUAAUUAGUUUAUUGUUAUGUUUGAGGGUUUAUUUAUGAUUUUUAUUCUUUUGUUAUUUAUGAUUAAUGUUUGUUUCAGGUGUAGAUCUGUGUAUUUGUUCAUCUCCACGACUGUUUUCAUAAAUCUAAUUAGUUCAUCCCUUUUCUCUGCUAUAUAUUGAAUCAAAUUAAGGCUACAUCAUAUAGGAUUUCAUCUCAGUAGCCAGAAAGCUUGAAUGAUUGUAGAAUUUUUAGAUAUUACAUGGAUUUGAAAAAAGGGCACCUUCCUUUGUAUACGAUUUCAAGUUAAAGCUUAUCUGUUGUAACUUAAAAUUCCGCAGGUAUAAGGAAAGCAAAUGUGUUGUGAAACAAUUGAUGGGAUGUGGUGGAAUGUCGUCUUCGCAUUCAGCUACGCGGUUGCUAUGGCGGUUGAAUUUCAUGAAGGAUUUGGUGGACUGUUUUUCGCUACUGCAUUGGUUCUAGCUAUGAUUGUGAUGUAUGAUGCUACUGGUGUAAGAUUGCAAGCGAGACGGCAAGCAGAGGUUUGAUUGCGGUUUAUGAGAUCUCUAUUUAUUUUGAAGAAUAAAUGAAGAACAUGAACUUAGAAAUUUGAACAUUAGUCAGAUCGCUUCACUCAAUCCUUCUGAUGUUCAGGACAUUCUUCUACUAUUCAUGUUGUUUCUGACUUUUCCUGUGCUCUUCUGCAGUG